GGUAUAGUUAAUCUGCCCUACACAAGAGGACAACAGUUGGAAACGACUGCUAAUACUCUAUACUCCUGCUUAACACAAGUUGAGUAGGGAAAGUUUUUCGGUGUAGGAUGAGACUAUAUAGUAUCAGCUAGUUGGUAAGGUAAUGGCUUAACAAGGCUAUGACGCUUAACUGGUCUGAGAAGAAUGAUCAUUCACACUGGAACUGAGACACGGUCCAGACUCCUACGGGAGGCAGCAGUAGGGAAUAUUGCGCAAUGGGGGAAACCCUGACGCAGCAACGCCGCGUGGAGGAUGACACUUUUCGGAGCGUAAACUCCUUUUCUUAGGGAAGAAUUCUGACGGUACCUAAGGAAUAAGCACCGGCUAACUCCGUGCCAGCAGCCGCGGUAAUACGGAGGGUGCAAGCGUUACUCGGAAUCACUGGGCGUAAAGGGCG
rnacentral:rRNA from 1 species